rnacentral:rRNA from 1 species
CUCUUUUUGAAUUUAAUUUAAAGUUGGGCCUGCCCACUGAAAAUUUGAAGGGCCGCAGUAUUUUGACUGUGCAAAGGUAGCAUAAUCAUUAGUUUUUUAAUUGAAAGCUUGUAUGAAUGGUUUGAUGAAAAAAUUUCUGUUUCAAUUUUAAUUUAUAGAACUUUAUUUUUAAGUAAAAAAGCUUAAAUUUAAUUUAAAGACGAGAAGACCCUAUAGAGUUUAACUAAAUUUAGAAUUUUUAAAUUUAAGAAUUUUAUAUUAAAAAUUUUAAUUAAGUUUUGUUGGGGUGACAAAAAAAUUAAAUUAACUUUUUUUUAUUAAAAACAUUAAUUAUUGAAUUUUUGAUCCAUUUAUAUGAUUAAAAGAUUAAAUUACCUUAGGGAUAACAGCGUAAUUUUUUUUAGGAGUUCUUAUUUAAAAAAAAGAUUGCGACCUCGAUGUUGGAUUAAAAUUAAUUUUUGGUGUAGAAGCUAAAUAAUUAGGUCUGUUCGACCUUUAAAAUUUUACAUGAUCUGAGUUUAAACCGGUGUGAGCCAGGUUGGUUUCUAUCUUAAAUUUAUUUAAUAUUUUAGUACGAAAGGAUCAAAUAUUAUAUUAAUAAUAUUAAUUGAAGAAUUUUAUUUUGGCAGAUUAGUGCGAUAGAUUUAGAAUCUUUUAAUGUAUUUUUAUACAAAUAAAAAUUGAUUUAAUUUUAAUUAUUUUAAAUGUAUUAAUUUUAAUUAUUGGAGUAUUAGUUGGGCUUGCUUUUUUAACUUUAUUGGAACGAAAAUUAUU